rnacentral:rRNA from 1 species
GAUGAACGCUGGCGGCGUGCCUAACACAUGCAAGUCGAACGAAACAUCUUAUUUGAUUUUCUUCGGGACUGAUGAUUCGGUGAAUGAGUGCCGGACGGGUGAGUAAAGCGUGGGUAACCUGCGCUGUACAGGGGGAUAACAGUCAGAAAUGACUGCUAAUACCGCAUAAGACCACAGCACCGCAUGGUCCAGGGGUAAAAACUCCGGUGGUACAGGAUGGACCCGCGUCUGAUUAGCUGGUUGGUGAGGUAACGGCUUACCAAGGCGACGGUCAGUAGCCGGCUUGAGAGAAUGAACGGCCACAUUGGGACUGAGACACGGCCCAAACUCCUACGGGAGGCAGCAGUGGGGAAUAUUGGACAAUGGGCGAAAGCCUGAUGCAGCGAUGCCGCGUGAGUGAAGAAGUACUUCGGUAUGUAAAGCUCUAUUAGCAGGGAAGAUAAUGACGGUACCUGACGAAGAAGCCCCGGCUAACUACGUG